rnacentral:pre_miRNA from 8 species
CUGAGCUCUUGGCUUUGAGAACUGAAUUCCAAGGGUGUCUGCUUUAUAUUCAGCCCACGGAGUUCAGUUCUUAAGUUUGGAUGCUCACG